rnacentral:rRNA from 1 species
UACAGAGGUCCCCAAGCGUUUGUUCGGAUUCAUUGGGCGUAAAGGGUGCGUAGGUGGCGUCGUAAGUCGGGUGUGAAAUCUCGGGGCUUAACUCCGAAACUGCAUUCGAUACUGCGGUGCUUGAGGACUGGAGAGGAGACUGGAAUUUACGGUGUAGCAGUGAAAUGCGUAGAGAUCGUAAGGAAGACCAGUGGCGAAGGCGGGUCUCUGGACAGUUCCUGACACUGAGGCACGAAGGCCAGGGGAGCAAACGGG